GAUGAACGCUGGCGGCGUGCCUAAUACAUGCAAGUCGAACGCAUUGUGGUUGAAAUGAUAUGAAGAACUUGUUCAGAUUUGAUUUUCAACAUUGCAAUGAGUGGCGAACGGGUGAGUAACACGUGGGAAACCUACCUCUUAGCAGGGGAUAACAUUUGGAAACAAAUGCUAAUACCGUAUAAUAAUUAAAACCCGCAAUGGUUUUAGUUUAAAAGAUGGUCUUGCUAUCACUAAGAGAUGGUCCCGCGGUGUAUUAGUAGUUGGUGAGGUAAUGGCUCACCAAGACAAUGAUACAUAGCCGAGUUGAGAGACUGACCGGCCACAAUGGGACUGAGACACGGCCCAUACUCCUACGGGAGGCAGCAGU
rnacentral:rRNA from 1 species